rnacentral:rRNA from 1 species
GAUCAUUAAAGAAAUGAACCUUGAGACUGUCGCUGGCCCCUCCUGCAGAUGGAGUUGGCAUGUGCACGUCUCUGGUCAUUACCAAUUCCACCUGUGCACACUUGUAGACACUUGGGAAUGAGAGACAUAGGCUGCUUGGCUGGUCUCUUGAGAGAGAGAAAUGGAAAAAAUCUGGGUGUCUAUGCCAUUUUUAUUAAACACUAGUUGCAUGUUUAUAGAAUGAAUGAUGAUUUGAUUGAAUAUGAAAUACAACUUUCAACAACGGAUCUCUUGGCUCUCGCAUCGAUGAAGAACGCAGCGAAAUGCGAUAAGUAAUGUGAAUUGCAGAAUUCAGUGAAUCAUCGAAUCUUUGAACGCACCUUGCGCUCCUUGGCAUUCUGAGGAGCAUGCCUGUUUGAGUGUCAUUAACAUCUCAAUACCUGUCUGCUUUUGAUGGGUAUUGGAAAUUGGGGGUUGCAGGGCUUGUAUAGCUUUGCUCUCCUUGAAUGUAUUAGUGGAGAAAAAGAAAGCUCAUUGAACUCCAUUGGUGUGAUAAAAUCUAUCAAUGCCAGGAACAAUGUCCAAGUUUCUCUGCUGUCUAAUCCAUGUCCAGUUUGGACCUCAUUUGACCAACUUGACCUCAAAUCAGGUAGGACUACCCGCUGAACUUAAGCAUAUCAAAGGCC